CAGAAAAUUGCUCUCUUCUCUUCUCUUCUCUUCUCUUCUCUUCUCUUCUCUUCUCUUCUCUUCUCUUCUCUUCUCUUUCUUCUCUUCUCUCUUCUCUUCUCUUCUCUUCUCUUCUCUUCUCUUCUCUUUUCUCUUCUUCUCUUUUCUCUUUUCUCUUCUCUUCUCUUUUCUCUCUUCUCUUCUCUUCUCUUCUCUUUUCUCUUCUCUUCUCUUCUCUCUUCUCUCUUCUCUUCUCUUCUCUUCUCUUUUCUAUUUUCUCUUCUCUCUUCUCUUUUCUCUCUUCUCUCUUCUCUACGGAGACACCUAGCAGACUCGAUAUAGACCCCAAUGAAGUGAGGGGCCGGGACCUUUUCUCUGCAGGUUGAUAACAUUAACUUAGUUAAUGUGGUUUGGUGACAAUGGAACUUUACCAAGUUAAUGCCAAUGGAAGAACACAGUUCUUUCAUAGAGAUGCCAAUAAAGCCACUGUAGGAAGAUAUCCCCAAUAAUCUCUGUGUGGGACAUGGCAUAUGAAAUAUUUCAAACAAGGAGCAAUGUGGAGGACAGUGAGUCACAGGCUUACCCCUGAAGAGAUUUCCCAUUCCCAGGAGAGACGGUGAAGCAGAGGAGGAGGGCAAGUUCCCAAAAGUCAUAAAGCAAGGCUGCCUGGAAGUUACCACUCCUGACUUAAGCUUAGCCUAGUAAGAGAAGCCAACUGGUCCUUGGACAGAGUCUGGGAAGGAAAAUUCUACGAAGUUGUGUGAAAGCCCAAACCUGCAAGAGGGUGUAGAAAAACAAUUCAAUGAACAGAUUCAAGAGCCAGAGACCUAUUGGCUGAUGCCACUCUGUGCCUAAAACUCCUCAGUUGAAAGGAUAGCAAGGUACAAGUAGAAGCCUGCUUUGGGAGAUUAUUUGCAAAGAUUGUAAGAUCAUUCUGUAGGGUGUUUAGCCAAGUUCCCAUCAAUGAGAAACUCAUGGGUAAGACUCCAGUAAAAAGUCAAUUUGCGCAGCAGAAGCUAUUGGCUACAGAGCGGGACAUUGCUCCAUUACAGGAAGACGUAUCAGUGAGCACAUCCUUCAUGCAGUUGUAGGCUGGAUAACAAGACUGAACAGCAUGGAAUACCUUUAUUCUUGGCCCCAAAUAGGAGCAGAAGGAGAUGAGCUUGCAGAGCAACUUCCCCAAUCUGUUUGGGGUUGGGCGGUUUCGGAUUUCAGCAACUAAGAGGCAGGUGGAUCUCUGUGAGUUUGAGACCAGGCUGGUCUACAAGAGGUAAUUCCAGGACAGCCUCCAAAGCCACAGAGAAACCCUGUCUCAAACAACAACAGCAACAGCAACAACAACAACAACAACAACAGCAACAACAACAACAAAACCAAAAAGAAAAUAAAAAUAAACCUAAAUUCUAUCAUC
rnacentral:lncRNA from 1 species